rnacentral:rRNA from 1 species
CCUACGGGAGGCUGCAGUGAGGAAUAUUGGUCAAUGGACGAGAGUCUGAACCAGCCAAGUAGCGUGAAGGAUGACUGCCCUAUGGGUUGUAAACUUCUUUUAUAAAGGAAUAAAACGAGGCACGUGUGCCUUUUUGCAUGUACUUUAUGAAUAAGGAUCGGCUAACUCCGUGCCAGCAGCCGCGGUAAUACGGAGGAUCCGAGCGUUAUCCGGAUUUGUUGGGUUUAGAGGGCGCGUAGAUGGGUUGUUAAGUCAGUUGUGAAAGUUUGCGGCUCAACCGUAAAAUUGCAAUUGAUACUGGCAGUCUUGAGUACAGUUGAGGUAGGCGGAAUUCGUGGUGUAGCGGUGAAAUGCUUAGAUAUCACGAAGAACCCCGAUUGCGAAGGCAGCUUACUAAACUGUGACUGACAUUGAUGCUCGAAAGUGUGGGUAUCAAACAGGAUUAGAUACCCUUGUAGUC